rnacentral:rRNA from 1 species
GACCUACGGGGCGCAGCAGUAGGGAAUCUUCCACAAUGGGCGAAAGCCUGAUGGAGCAACGCCGCGUGGGUGAAGAAGGUCUUCGGAUCGUAAAACCCUGUUGUUAGAGAAGAAAGUGCGUGAGAGUAACUGUUCACGUUUCGACGGUAUCUAACCAGAAAGCCACGGCUAACUACGUGCCAGCAGCCGCGGUAAUACGUAGGUGGCAAGCGUUAUCCGGAUUGAUUGGGCGUAAAGGGAACGCAGGCGGCCUUUUAAGUCUGAUGUGAAAGGCUUCGGCUUAACCGGAGGAGUCACUUGGAAGU